CCUACGGGUGGUAGCAGUGAGGAAUAUUGGUCAAUGGACGAGAGUCUGAACCAGCCAAGUAGCGUGAAGGAUGACUGCCCUAUGGGUUGUAAACUUCUUUUAUAAAGGAAUAAAACGAGGCACGUGUGCCUUUUUGUAUGUACUUUAUGAAUAAGGAUCGGCUAACUCCGUGCCAGCAGCCGCGGUAAUACGGAGGAUCCGAGCGUUAUCCGGAUUUAUUGGGUUUAAAGGGAGCGUAGAUGGGUUGUUAAGUCAGUUGUGAAAGUUUGCGGCUCAACCGUAAAAUUGCAAUUGAUACUGGCAGUCUUGAGUACAGUUGAGGUAGGCGGAAUUCGUGGUGUAGCGGUGAAAUGCUUAGAUAUCACGAAGAACCCCGAUUGCGAAGGCAGCUUACUAAACUGUGACUGACAUUGAUGCUCGAAAGUGUGGGUAUCAAACAGGAUUAGAUACCCCAGUAGUC
rnacentral:rRNA from 1 species